rnacentral:rRNA from 1 species
AUUGAACGCUGGCGGCAGGCCUAACACAUGCAAGUCGAACGGUAACAGGAAACAGCUUGCUGUUUCGCUGACGAGUGGCGGACGGGUGAGUAAUGUCUGGGAAACUGCCUGAUGGAGGGGGAUAACUACUGGAAACGGUAGCUAAUACCGCAUAGCGUCGCAAGACCAAAGAGGGGGACCUUCGGGCCUCUUGCCAUCGGAUGCGCCCAGAUGGGAUUAGCUAGUAGGUGGGGUAACGGCUCACCUAGGCGACGAUCCCUAGCUGGUCUGAGAGGAUGACCAGCCACACUGGAACUGAGACACGGUCCAGACUCCUACGGGAGGCAGCAGUGGGGAAUAUUGCACAAUGGGCGCAAGCCUGAUGCAGCCAUGCCGCGUGUAUGAAGAAGGCCUUCGGGUUGUAAAGUACUUUCAGCGGGGAGGAAGGGAGUAAAGUUAAUACCUUUACUCAUUGACGUUACCCGCAGAAGAAGCACCGGCUAACUCCGU